AGGACGAACGCUGGCGGCGUGCCUAACACAUGCAAGUGGAGCGACGACCCGGGCUUCGGCCCGGUGCAAAGCCGCGAACGGGUGAGUAACACGUGACUAACCUACCCUUGAGUGGGGAAUAACCUCGGGAAACCGGGGCUAAUACCGCAUAACACCUACGGGUCAAAGGAGCAAUUCGCUUAAGGAGGGGGUCGCGGCAGAUUAGUUAGUUGGCGGGGUAAUGGCCCACCAAGACGGUGAUCUGUAUCC
rnacentral:rRNA from 1 species